rnacentral:rRNA from 1 species
GAUCAUGGCUCAGAUUGAACGCUGGCGGCAUGCUUUACACAUGCAAGUCGAACGGUAACAGGUCUUCGGAUGCUGACGAGUGGCGAACGGGUGAGUAAUGUAUCGGAACGUGCCCAGUAGUGGGGGGAUAACUACUCGAAAGAGUGGCUAAUACCGCAUGAGAACUGAGGUUGAAAACGGGGGACCUUCGGGCCUCGCGCUACUGGAGCGGCCGAUAUCAGAUUAGGUAGUUGGUGGGGUAAAGGCCUACCAAGCCGACGAUCUGUAGCUGGUCUGAGAGGACGACCAGCCACACUGGGACUGAGACACGGCCCAGACUCCUACGGGAGGCAGCAGUGGGGAAUUUUGGACAAUGGACGCAAGUCUGAUCCAGCAAUGCCGCGUGCAGGACGAAGGCCUUCGGGUUGUAAACUGCUUUUGUACAGAACGAAAAGGCUCUGGUUAAUACCUGGGGCUCAUGACGGUACUGUAAGAAUAAGCACCGGCUAACUACGUG